UCCAGUUUUGAAGUCGGAACGGGGUCUCUCAGGGCCUGGUCCAGCUUUUAAGUGGGAACGGGGUCUCCCGGGGCCUGCUCAGGCGUUUAAGUAGCAACCGGUUCUAUCGGGACCUGGUCCAGGUUUUAAGUCGGAGCCAGUUCUAUGGGGACCUGUCCAGGUUUUAAGCCCGCCUCAGCCAGGCGCCCGUCUGUUUCCGCUCCCGGAUCAGCCAGAGACACGCUGGAGUCCGGAAAUGAUGCUGAAGACACACAUGUAUGCAUGAACUCACAUAUGUGCCUUGAAACCCUGCAAGACCUCAAUGACACAUGAGGAUUUGAUGAAGUGUGGUUUGGAAAUGAUUAUAUUAGGCUCUGUACCACUUUGUUACAUAUCACAGGAAGUGUUUCUGAACUGGUUGGAACAUAUGAAGGAGAAAUCUAAGAGUAGCAAAGCAAAUAUAUGAUCUAAGAAAAAUAAAUUUUAAUUCUUG